rnacentral:rRNA from 1 species
UUCUGGUUAGAUCCCCUUGAGUUGAUCUGGCUCAGAUUGAACGCUGGCAGCAUGCCUUACACAUGCAAGUCGAGCGGCAGCGCGGGGGCAACCCUGGCGGCGAGCGGCGAACGGGUGAGUAAUGCAUCGGAACGUGUCCUCUUGUGGGGGAUAACCAGUCGAAAGACUGGCUAAUACCGCAUGAGAUCGAGAGAUGAAAGCAGGGGACCGCAAGGCCUUGCGCGAGAGGAGCGGCCGAUGCCGGAUUAGCUAGUUGGUGGGGUAAAAGCCUACCAAGGCGACGAUCCGUAGCUGGUCUGAGAGGACGACCAGCCACACUGGGACUGAGACACGGCCCAGACUCCUACGGGAGGCAGCAGUGGGGAAUUUUGGACAAUGGGGGCAACCCUGAUCCAGCCAUGCCGUGUGUGUGAAGAAGGCCUUCGGGUUGUAAAGCACUUUCGGCCGGAACGAAAUCGCGCGAGUUAACACCCCGCGUGGAUGACGGUACCGGAAGAAGAAGCACCGGCUAACUACGUGCCAGCAGCCGCGGUAAUACGUAGGGUGCGAGCGUUAAUCGGAAUUACUGGGCGUAAAGUGUGCGCAGGUGGCCGCGCAUGUCGAGUGUGAAAUCCCCGGGCUUAACUUGGGAAUUGCGCUCGAAACUACGUGGCUGGAGUGUGGCAGAGGGAGGUGGAAUUCCCGUGUAGCGGUGAAUGCGUAGAGAUGUGGAGGACACCAAUGGCGAAGCAGCCUCUGGGCCACACUGACACUCAUGCACGAAGCGUGGGAGCAACNAGAUAAUACCUGGUAUCACGCCUAACAUGAU